CCUACGGGAGACAGCAGUGAGGAAUAUUGGUCAAUGGACGAGAGUCUGAACCAGCCAAGUAGCGUGAAGGAUGACUGCCCUAUGGGUUGUAAACUUCUUUUAUAUGGGAAUAAAAUGUUCCACGUGUGGGAUUUUGUAUGUACCAUAUGAAUAAGGAUCGGCUAACUCCGUGCCAGCAGCCGCGGUAAUACGGAGGAUCCAAGCGUUAUCCGGAUUUAUUGGGUUUAAAGGGAGCGUAGGUGGAUUGUUAAGUCAGUUGUGAAAGUUUGCGGCUCAACCGUAAAAUUGCAGUUGAAACUGGCAGUCUUGAGUACAGUAGAGGUGGGCGGAAUUCGUGGUGUAGCGGUGAAAUGCUUAGAUAUCACGAAGAACUCCGAUUGCGAAGGCAGUUCACUGGACUGCAACUGACACUGAGGCUCGAAAGUGUGGGUAUCAAACAGGAUUAGAUACCCGUGUAGUC
rnacentral:rRNA from 1 species